rnacentral:lncRNA from 1 species
AUGGCGCAUGCAGAGUGCAUCCUUGAUGUGAAACAAUCACAAGUGCUUGCUGAAGUGGUGAUGUUCUUAUAUACCAGGAAUGCUGAAGCUCCAACAGUCACUGCUACCUACCGUCUCUUCAUCAUUUUGUACCACCUCCCCCUCUGCUAUUCUCGGAUUCAAAACAUCAAAGAACAAAUGGUGGAAUAAAUCAUCCAGACAUCUAUCUCAAAAGAAAGAGCAAGUCUAAGAUGUAAAUCUGCUUAAAAUUUGUGGGUGGAUCAUGGAUUAGUAAAUUCCCACUCUCUGCUGCUCAAUUUUUGGGUAAAAAGAUGGCCCAACAUGUAUCGAGAGAAAAUGAGGAAAAAAAUAAACUAAUUUGGUAUGAACA